rnacentral:rRNA from 1 species
UACGUAGGGUGCGAGCGUUAAUCGGAAUUACUGGGCGUAAAGCGUGCGCAGGCGGUUGUGCAAGACAGGUGUGAAAUCCCCGGGCUCAACUUGGGAACUGCAUUUGUGACUGCACGGCUAGAGUGUGUCAGAGGGGGGUAGAAUUCCACGUGUAGCAGUGAAAUGCGUAGAUAUGUGGAGGAACACCGAUGGCGAAGGCAGCCCCCUGGGUCAAGACUGACGCUCAUGCACGAAAGCGUGGGGAGCAAACAGG